UUUUCCUGUAUAUAAUUGUAGGUCACUAGCGUUUUUGGCUUUAUUGGGAAGAAUAUUAGUUAUUCAGAACCAACAGAAUGUGUAUAUACAGAGAAAGAGACUUAUUAUAGGAAUUGGCUCCUGUGAUUAUGAACGCUGGCAAGUACAAAAUCUUCAGGGAAGGCUGGUGGGCUGGAGACCCAGGAAAGCUGAUGCUCUGAAGUUCCAGUCUGAAGGCCAGCAGGCUGGAGAGCCAGUGUUCCAAUUUGUGAAGGUAGUCUGUGGUAGAACCAGGAAGAGUCAAGAUUGCAGUGAAGUCCAAAGGCAGGCUGAUGGAGAAAUUCUGUCUUGCAUUAGGGAGGGCAGUCUUUUUGUUCUCUGCAGGCCUUCAAAUGAUUAAAUGAGGCCCACCGACAUUAUGGAGGGCAAUCUGCUUUACUCAAAGUCCACCAAUUUAAAUGUUACUCUCAUCCAAAAUACUCUCACCCAAAAUACUCUCACAGAAACACCCAGAAUAAUGUUUGACUAAUUAUCUGCGCAUCCUAUGGUCCAGCCAAGUUGACAGAUGAAAUUAACCAUCACAAGUCCAGUCCCUGCCAAGUUGGCACCCAUAUGCGUCUCCUUGAACCACACUUAAUCAUCAUAUAAAGACAAUAACAAAGUCAUAUGUAUUAGGCUGUUCUUGUGUUUCUAUAAAGAACUACCGGAGACUGAAUAAUUUAUAAAGAAAAGAGGUUUAACUGGCUCACAGUUCUGCAGGCUGUACAAGCAUGGCACUAACAUCACUGGGCUUCUGGUGAGGGCUCAGGGAGCUUUUACUCAUGAUGGAAGGCAAAGCAGGAGCAGGCACUUCACAGGGCAAAAGCAGGAGCAAGAUAGAGAGAGAGGUGGGGUAGGAGAGGUGUCACAUACUUUUAAACGACCAGAUCUCGUGAGAACUCACUCACUAUCAUGAAGACAGUGCCAAGCCAUGAGGGAUCUGCCUCCAUGACCCAAACACCUCCCACCAGGCUCCACCUCCAGCACUGAGGAUUACAAUUCACCAUGAGAUUUAGGUGGAGACAGACAUCCAAACUACAUCAUCAUACUUCCACCUAAAAUGAUAAAACAAUCCUAUGUACAACCAAAAAUACAGCCUUUCCUCAGAAAAGGAUGCAAAGUCCCUGGAUGAUGUUUUCUCUUCUCCUCCAUAUCCCAUAACCUAAAUACUAUAAAGUUAACACUACUUAAAUACUAUGAUAUAAAGUCAAUACAUCUUAUGUUACAUGAUAAGGAGAUAACAGGGGAAAGAAAACACAGAUGUUUGCUACACAUACACAUAUUCAAAACAGUAUGAGGAAAUACACAAGACAGUUACAGUCCUCAUUUCUGUAACUGGUCAUGUGGUCAUAGCUAGAAUUCAUAACUACCUUAUUCCACUACCCAUUCCCAUUGCCUUCAGCAAGCAUCUCAGCUGGUUAUAGUUCUUAACCUGCUUGGGUGGCCCAAAUCUUUAUUCCUGAAGAGUCUGGGAUAUUAGUAGUAUCGCUAGAUUGGGUUGUUUUGUGUUUCUAUUGACCGUAAUCACAGAGCAUGGUAAUAUUAAGAGCCAGCCCUAAGGGAUCUUCCAGACAUAUGCUUCCUUCCUUCCAUUAGCAUUCCAGUUGCCCCUUGGUAAUCAGGAUCAAUCACCCCAGCCAACAUCAUAACUACCUUUUUUGUCUGUUGACUCAAAGGCAUAAGGAACCUCAAGGGGCCAGGUGGCAGUUUUGAUUUCCAAUUCAACGGAAUAAUUGUUGUUCCUCCUGGUAGAAGCUGUCCUCCUUUUAAAAAUAAGACCUCCAGGCCAGCAGAGUAUAAGGUCAUAGAAAGCAAAAAUUUUGCUAAUGGGUCACUAGAAGUAAAAGUGAGCAGUGCUACUUCCAUUUCCCCCCCUUGAUUCCUGGACCUGUGUAUCCUAGCUAUGGGAGAGAUGGGACCAUAUAUUGACACAGAUUCAGAACUUACCCAGCUUCCCAGAGAACCUUGCUCCAGUCCUGUAAAGUAUUGUCACCUAGCUGGCACUGUAACUGACCUUCAAAAGGCCAUUCCACCACUCUAUCAAGCCAGCUGCUUCAGGAUGGUGCAGAACAUGGUAAGACCACUGAAUUUCAUGAGCCUUGUUUGAUCAGAAGUAAUGCUUUAUGGAAUACUAUGAUGGCAGAUAAGGCAUUUCAUAAGUCCACAGAUGGUAGUUUUGGCAGAAGCACUGUGCAGGGAAGGCAAAUCCAUAUCUGAAGUGUUUAUCCCAGAAAGAAGAAAAUGAUGCCCCUUCUAUGAUGGAAGCGGUCCAAUGUAAUGAACCUGCCACUAGGUAUGAUUGCAUAAAAGCUGGAAUCUUACGGAUAAUUUAGGGUAUGUCUACUGGUAAUAAAAUGACACAAGAACUAUCAUA
rnacentral:lncRNA from 1 species